CCCUUAGAUGUUCUGGGCCGCACGCGCGCUACACUGACGAAUGCAACGAGCUUAUAACCUUGGCCGAAAGGUCUGGGUAAUCUCCAAAUUUCGUCGUGAUGGGGAUAGAUUAUUGCAAUUAUUAAUCUUCAACGAGGAAUGCCUAGUAAGCGCAAGUCAUCAGCUUGCGUUGAUUACGUCCAUGCCCUUUGUACACACCGCCCGUCGCUCCUACCGAUUGAAUGGUCCGGUGAAGCGUUCGGACCGUGGCCUUUGGACGGUUCGCCGUCUGUUGGCUGCGGGAAGUUCGUUAAACCUUAUCAUUUAGAGGAAGGAGAAGUCGUAACA
rnacentral:rRNA from 1 species